rnacentral:rRNA from 1 species
AACGAACGCUGGCGGCAGGCUUAACACAUGCAAGUCGAACGCCCCGCAAGGGGAGUGGCAGACGGGUGAGUAACGCGUGGGAACAUACCCUUUUCUACGGAAUAGCUCUGGGAAACUGGAAUUAAUACCGUAUACGCCCUACGGGGGAAAGAUUUAUCGGGGAAGGAUUGGCCCGCGUUGGAUUAGCUAGUUGGUGGGGUAAAGGCCUACCAAGGCGACGAUCCAUAGCUGGUCUGAGAGGAUGAUCAGCCACAUUGGGACUGAGACACGGCCCAAACUCCUACGGGAGGCAGCAGUGGGGAAUAUUGGACAAUGGGCGCAAGCCUGAUCCAGCCAUGCCGCGUGAGUGAUGAAGGCCUUAGGGUUGUAAAGCUCUUUCACCGAUGAAGAUAAUGACGGUAGUCGGAGAAGAAGCCCCGGCUAACUUCGUGCCAGCCGCCGCAGUAA